rnacentral:lncRNA from 1 species
AAAACACCCCUCCCUGAUUACAGUACUCCUAGAUAUUUUGCCUUCUCCUAACAAUAUAUAAGACCUUGAGGCUCUUUUUGUAGGGACAAAAAAUUGGAAAUCGAAUGGACGCCCAUCAGCUGCAGAAUGGCUCAAUAAUUACAGCAAAUGAAUAUAAUGGAGAAUUAUUGUUCCCUAACAAAUGAAGAGCAGACCAAUUUCAGAAAAUCCUGGAAAGACUUAUAUGAACUGAUGCAGAGUGAAGUGAGCAGAACCAGGAGAACAUUGUACACAGUAACAAGAAGAUUAUGUGAUGAUCAAUUGUGAUGGACUUGGUUCUUCUCAGCAAUAUUGUGAUUCAAGAUGACUCCAAAAGACUUGGGAUGAAAAAGGCCCUCCACAUCCACAGAGAAAACUAUAGAGACUGAAUAUAGAUUGAAGCAUAAUAUUUUCCACUUUUUGUUCAUUUACUUUCUCGUGUUUUUCCCCUUUUGGUCUGAUUUUUCUUGCACAACAUGAGAAACAUGAAAAUUUGUUUAAAAGAAUUGCACAUAUUUAACCUUUCUCAGAUUUUCUGUCUUGGGGAAGGUUGAGAUGAGGGAAGGAGGAAAAAAAAUUCAAAAUACAAGGUCUUACAAAAAUGAACAUUGAAAACUAUAUUUACAGGUAUUUUGGGGGAAAAUAAAAUACUAUUCAGGAAAAAAAGAAAGAAAUGAGCAUGAUGGUUUAGUUCUGCUUCCUUUAUACUUUUCAGUUCUAAGAGUAGGAUUCAGAGUAUUGAACUAGGGAGCUCAGUCCAUAGGGAUCUUGGGACUCGGAUUCCAGGCCAAAUGUGGCUGACAAGCGAAAGAAGUUCAAAAAGGCAACAGUCCUAGGACACAAAGCCAGAAAGAGCUUUGGACUUGAACUUGAUAAUACUAAUGCUAUGUAGAAAUUAAAUUAAUCUAUAAACCAGACUCUUCCUCAGAAUCCAAAGUAGAAUAAGGAGAGAUUUACAGUCUAUAGGUAUUAAAAGUGGUUGCAUAUUUGCUCAUUGUGCUUUUGAAGUAAGUAAUCCUUUAUUAAAAAAAAAAAAAAAAAACAAUCAACAAUCUGACUGGUAAGUGUUAACAGAUUUUUAGACCCAUAAAAUGGGGAGGAGCAUAACUGGUGAAGAAUCAAUUAAUAAUUGUCUUAAGCUCCUUACUAUAUGUCAGGUGCUAUUAAUCACUGGAGAUUUUUAAAAAUACAGCAUCUGCCUUCAUAUAACUUUCAAUCUAAUGGAAAGACAACAAUGCAAAGAAAUGUAUAUGAAUUAUAGGCGGGAAGAGUAGGAAAUAAUUAAAAAAGGGAAGGCACCGGGAAUAAGAGGGGUUAGGAAAUGUGGGAGCCAACAGCAGAAUUUGGAGAUUUCUCCAUCUCCUUACAAUGGGAAAAAGGGAAGAAUGUAACUCACCGGACCAUCAGAGAGUAAGAUUUAGAGAAAAUACUAUUACAUAAGAACUAAUAAUUGUCAAAUAUUUAGAGAAGUCCACACAUGAUCUGAGAUGAGCUAAUACAGAGUCAAAUAUAACCAUGAAAACAAUAGACAUAAUUACUCCCAUUUAAUUAAAUAGAUAGAGUGAAAAAAUGGAAGCAAAAAAUUUAUACUUACACUGAACCAAGCUUGAGCCAAAGAUGGUGCAAGGCUCUACCUUCCCUUCUUUGCAGAGUUGGCAGACCAUGAAUAUGAAAAAUUGUACAUAGAAGCAAAUCAGGUUAACACCUUAGCUGUAUCACUAAGAUGUAUUUUUUUUUUCUCCUUCUGUAAAAUCCUGUGCUGUUGUGAUACAGGAGCCACCUGCUAGUGUCUUUUCGAGGU